AUUGAACGCUGGCGGCAGGCUUAACACAUGCAAGUCGAGCGGGGUGAUGGUGCUUGCACUAUCACUUAGCGGCGGACGGGUGAGUAAUGCUUAGGAAUCUGCCUAUUAGUGGGGGACAACAUCUCGAAAGGGAUGCUAAUACCGCAUACGUCCUACGGGAGAAAGCAGGGGAGCACUUGUGACCUUGCGCUAAUAGAUGAGACUAAGUCGGAUUAGCUAGUUGGUGGGGUAAAGGCCUACCAAGGCGACAAUCUGUAGCGGGUCUGAGAGGAUGAUCCGCCACACUGGGACUGAGACACGGCCCAGACUCCUACGGCAGGCAGCAGUGGGGAAUAUUGGACAAUGGGGGGGACCCUGAUCCAGCCAUGCCGCGUGUGUGAAGAAGGCCUUAUGGUUGUAAAGCACUUUAAGCGAGGAGGAGACUCUUUUGGUUAAUACCCAAGAUGAGUGGACGUUACUCGCAGAAUAAGCACCGGCUAACUCUGUGCCAGCCGCCGCGGUAA
rnacentral:rRNA from 1 species